rnacentral:misc_RNA from 1 species
AACGCAAAUUGCACUCCCUGGCAUUCCGGGGAGUAUGCCUGUUUGAGGGUCAGUUUAAAUAAAUAUCGUGGUGUUGCUUUUUUGUGACGCUUCGGAAUUGGGUUAUCUUGAUCCUCUGGGUUAAGUGACCUAAAAUUGAUGUAUCUUCUGUGCAUCUCGGACGUACAUAAGAAUUUUUUUUCCUAUCCGUCAGGGUUGCCAGGUCCUUAUUAGGUAUGAUCACGUUGCUUGUGAAAUCCGUACCUAUAACAUAAUUCAUAUUUUGACCUCAAAUCAGGUAAGAAAACCCGCUGAACUUAA